CUCAAAAUUUUCUAACUCCUCCCUCUCUUCACCUUGACACACUCGCCCCAGUCCAUUUUCUGCCCCUCUUCUACACCAAAACCCUAGCCGCCUCUCUCUUCUUCUUCUUCUUCUCUCUCUUGAGCAGCCACCCAAUUCUGCCUCCCUCCUCAAACGAGCUUCAUAAACAAAGCCAUAAUUGGAUUCUGGAUUGAAAACGAAUUUCAAGAGCAAAAAGAAAAGAAAAAGCGAACAAAAACCGAAGGAAAUAGGCUAAAACAGUGAAUUUCUGUCAUUAUUGGAAGCUGUUGUUCAUGGUUCUGGGUUUUCUAAUGCUAUUCUAUGUCAAAGCAUUGCCGAACUUCUGUUGUUGGUUGCUAAAAUUUCUGCUGAGCUUCAUCCGAAUUUGUAUUUGCCUUCAUUUGGCUCAUCUCAGUUAUCUCAUUAUUUGAUUAGGUAGGGUGAAAGUCGAGAAUGUGUUAGAUGUUGCAUAUCAAAACGAUAUCUUCAGUGUUCACCAAAUAGUGGACGAUUUGUUAAGGCAAUGGAAGACCGGGGAUUUCUUACAGAAGAGCAAAAAAGGAAAGAAAGCUAGCUCAUCCGAGAAGGGAGGCUCCUUGCACACUGGAGGUGCUAUCAGCAUCGGGACAAUAAGAAGAAGAUUGGAAAAAAAGUAUGGGCGUCCAAUGAGCCAUGA